AAAACUGUGGCACUACUUACACAACUUAUUUACUGAAUGUGGAUGGUUAGAAACUGCCUCUGGGGGUUUGUGGAAAAAAGGAGACAAUUCCUGACAACCACUUAAAGUAACAUUUUGGUAAGUAUUAAUUUAAUUAAAAAAAUAAAACCACAAAGUCUCCUCUGAAAUAGGACUUCAUCUUUGAUUUUUUUUAACCCUGAUAAAAUCAAAGGGAUUUCUUCAUUAAAAAAAAAAAAUCAAACUCCAGCUGAUAUUAUUAAUCAUUUCCCUCAAUCUUUUAAAGCAAAGAUCUUCUGUGUGAUACCAAGACUUUGAUAAAGCCACCAGAACAAAAUUACCAUAUUUUGUUUAAUUGAAUUGAGUUGCUUCUUACUGGCAAUUCAUUGUGAGUGUUGUGUGCUUACUUUAGUGACCAGCACAGUGUUAAACUUCAUCGACUUUUGCUGUCAUGCAAACUAAAUAACCCAUAAUAACUGGGGGGGGGGGGGGGGGGGGGGGAGGUUGAAGAGGAUCUUUCUGUAUUGUUUCAUAUUGCUCGAAUAGUUAACUGGAGAAGGAGGCUAAGAAGUGCUGUUGCCCAUGGCAGCAUGCAGCUGGAGGAGCACCAAAGCUGGCUGCAGGGGCCCUGAGCAGAGGGACCUCCAAGCAGCUCUGCAUGCUGUGCCUCAGCCGGGCCCUGGCGGCCAUCUGAAGGAGCAGCCUGCUCUGGCAACCUGCCUUGGCCUUCACAAAAUGGAGGCAGCCGCCUGUGGGCAAACGGAGAUCACAGCAAUUGCUUUGAAGCGUGUUGUGGUUUCUGUACUGCUUGCACACUGUUCUCCAAAAUUCUCCAACAACCUGAGAGCCUGCCAGGGAUUUGGUUGCAUUCUGAUUUGUACUGGUGGCAGACAAAUAUAUGAAGUGGAGUGUCCACUGAAGCCUUGGGAAUGGCUCACUUAGUAGAUCACUCACCCGAUGGCAUGCAAAAAGGAGAAAGCAAUGCUUGCAGUCAACAAAUCCUCUGCAAGAGGGAAUGGACUCUUCUCCAAGUAAAAUAUUGAUGAACCUAUAUAUUAAAUAUUUAAAAUAACAAGAAAAGGCAUGGAAUUGUUUAUGUUAAUACUGUUUAAUUUCCACCAUUUUUGAAAAUAGUGAUUGUAGUGCUUAAACCUGCAGUGAUGGUCUCUGCAGCCUGUUUUCAGUCCCCGGAAGCAGUGGCAUUAGAGGGUUCGCCAGUACUCUUAUGUCACUCACUGCACUCAGCUGUCAGUCUCUUCUGUAGCAGAAGGUGAAAGCACAAUCGAAAGCUCCAACUCUCCUACUCUGUGGAGGGACGGGUGGCUGAGUACUAUUCAAUUCAGAGUACAUUUCUUCUGGGAGCAGCACUUACCAGCAAGAAAUUACUCUUUCAAAGAUGUUCCACAGAUUGGAUUGUGCUCCCCAAGAACAAAGGCUCAAAUGAGAUCUCCAAGAGCAAUACAGACCAAAAUGGGCAUCAUGUUUUCUCAUUGAGGAUGAGGAUACUGUGACUAUAUUAAUACUGCCUGACCAGUUAGAGAGCUGUUCAUAAACAGUUAGGAUUGUCUGACACUCACUCUAUUAACGCUCCCUGGCAGUAGCUCUACACCAGUGCUCAGAUGCCAGCACAGUUUAUUUACACACUCAUGAUGGACAGCCAUAAGGCACCUCUGCACUCCUGGGAACCUCACUGAUAUUUGUGCUAAGAUCACUUAACACCCUUAUCGAGCAUUAAAAUUACUCAAUUUUUUACUCUGCAGUGUGGAGUGCAAAAGUCCGCAUGUAAAUAAGAGUCAGUCAGCUGUGUUUGUUUAUUUAAUGGAAAAGGGCUGAUCUGGCUUUGACAAAU
ensembl:lncRNA